GAUGAAGAACGUAUCGAAAUGCGAUAAGUAAUGUGAAUUGCAGAAUUCAGUGAAUCAUCGAAUCUUUGAACGCACAUUGCGCCCGCCAGUAUUCUGGCGGGCAUGCCUGUUCGAGCGUCAUUACAACCCUCAGGCCCCCGGGCCUGGCGUUGGGGAUCGGCGGAAGCCCCCUGUGGGCACACGCCGUCCCUCAAAUACAGUGGCGGUCCCGCCGCAGCUUCCAUUGCGUAGUAGCUAACACCUCGCAACUGGAGAGCGGCGCGGCCAUGCCGUAAAACACCCAACUUCUGAAUGUUGACCUCGAAUCAGGUAGGAAUACCCGCUGAACUUAAGCAUAUCAAUAAGCGGAGGA
rnacentral:misc_RNA from 1 species